CCGCUUUGGAACCACUGAAGUCUCCUCUGGUCACCCAAAGUUUUACUUCUUCUAUGAAAUUCAAAGAGAAGUAUUUAUCCUACGGCUACCAUGUUGGGAUCGUUUUAUGUCUUCUCUGUCCAUAAGCCAAUAUACUGGAGCCAGAGCAAUAGGACUGAUCUGUCCUUUUGCAUCGGUCCAUGAUUGUGCUACAGAGACGCCCACAGCCUGGGAGCUCCAGAGCCAAAAGAAAACAACAGGCUUUUCAUCAGGCAGUAUGUGCACCCCUGCAGGUCACCGCAGCAGGAUCCUGGCCAUGCCAACUUCUUUCCAUGCUCCUGAGGAGGAUGGGGGUGUAGAGGACAGAACUGAGGAGUGAAAAGCGGGGAGGUACCACAGACAAGAGCUAUGACUUCCAUUCAAAGGCAAGAAAAAGGCUGUUGCCAGAGAGAAUUCAAAUAACUUGUGAUGGCUUCCUGGUGGAAGGAAGAGCUGAAGGCAGAGCCAGGCUAGCAUAGAAUGUUAAGUGGAGAAUCUCAGAAGGAGUCUGACCAAGCCAUGCACCUUAAGCAAGCAACCAGUAGUGAACGGCCCCAGGACCUGAAAGUGUGAAGCUCCCAAGGUUCCAAGAUAAGAAACGUGACUCAGCAUUUAUCUUUUCCCAUAAAACAUAGCAAUGUAUUAAGCUUACCUUUGAAAUUUGACUCUAAGGCCAGUGACAAUAUCUAAUUUGUGGUCAUGACAUAUAAAACUUGACAUAGGUAGAAGGGAAAUCCUUUGAACUAGAGAAGGUACAACCAAACUCCAACUUAUUGAUCCUGUAUAUAAUUUUCAGUGACAGUCACAAAAGUAUAGAUAUCCAGGGGGCAGGCACCAUGAAUCUAUGGUUUCUCUAGCCAGUUGCUAGAGACAUUUUCAAAACUUCAAGCAGCGUACCAUUUAUGAAAAUGGCUUCGGGUUUCAAGUUUAAAUUCGGAUUGAUAUACUGUCUGUUAAAGCAGGAGAACCUGAUGGAUAUAUAAGAAUGCCAUAAGCACAACCUGCAAUAUAAAUUUAAUUGCUUUAUGCUAGCAAAACAAGGCUCUGAGAUGCAGUAGAAAUGAUAUGGUAUGUUUGUACAUAUGGUAGAGAAAAAAGAAUGUGGGCUUCACAAUCAAGUUCAAGCCCCAACUGUGAUGAGUAUGUGAACUUGAGUAUCAAGUCUUGAUUUUUUCCACCUGUGGUGAGA
ensembl:lncRNA